rnacentral:misc_RNA from 1 species
AAGUCGUAACAAGGUUUCCGUAGGUGAACCUGCGGAAGGAUCAUUACAAUACGUUUUACGUAUAAACCCAAACGGUUGAACUGUGAAAACGUCCGAUAGGAAAAGACGGGGUCAUGGCCGACGGCUUUGAGGUGGAUAUCACAAAAUAUCAAAACAACAAAAUAACCGCAAGGUUGUGUGUUUUUUGAGGUGAUACAAAAGUGCCUCGGUCGGUCGUUUUGUUUAGUUUCGCGACUAAACGAAAGCCCUUUUCCUAGUUCGCGUAUUUUAUCCAAUCAAUCACUUUUGUUUUAUCGCCCUUUUUUCCUAUUUUAACCCAUUUCACCUCUUCUAUCUAUUUACGAACUGAAUUCGAGAUGUUUGGGCUUCGAAACGAGCCUCAUCUUGGUGAUAUUACGAAACUUAAGAACAACUCUUAACAACGGAUAUCUUGGCUCUC